UGAUAUAAUAACAUUCAUACAGGUGGCAAUAGACUCGGCCACGCCAAUUGAUGAAGCUGGUCCAAGUGGAGGUUUUAUGGACCCAGCUGAGGCUUUUGGGGGAUAUGGUCCUAUGCGUUCUUAUGGAAGACUCUAUGGUAGCCUGGACUUUGAUGAUUAUGGUUAUGGAGCCAGCAGAAGCAGCAGCAGCAGAUCAUCAAGACUCGAUUGGCGGUACAGGCCUUACUGACUCACCAUGUUGCAAACAACCACCUUGUUGGACAACUAAACACUUUCAAAAGUCGUUUCGUAUUCAAAUUGCUCUAAACAUACUAGAUUUGAUAGCAAAAUCUGUCUACUCCGUACUGGUUGUGUGAUAAGAUAUUUUAUCUUGUUUAUCGUUAUCAUCCUAUAAUAAUUUGGAUUGAGAUAAGGUGUUUCUGGUUUUCACUUACAGCAGUUGAGCUCCUUAAAGAAAAAUCGUCCUUAUGACAA